rnacentral:rRNA from 1 species
GACGAACGCUGGCGGCGUGCUUAACACAUGCAAGUCGAACGGAGUGGCGAACGGGUGAGUAACACGAGGGUGAUCUGCCUUGCACUUCGGGAUAAGCUUGGGAAACUGGGACUAAUACCGGAUAGUGCAAGAUGAGCUCGCGGCCUAUCAGCUUGUUGGUGGGGUAAUGGCCUACCAAGGCGUCGAAGGGUAGCCGGCCUGAGAGGGUGUACGGCUACAUUGGGACUGGGGUACGGCCCAGACUCCAACGGGAGGCAGCAGUGGGUAAUAAUGCGCAAUGGGCGGAAGCAUGAUGCAGAGACGCCGCGUGGGGGAUGAAGGCCUUCGGGUUGUAAACGCCUUUCGACAGGGACGCGGUACCUGUAUAAGAAGCACCGGCUAACUACGUGCCAGCAGCCGCGGUAAUAC